rnacentral:rRNA from 1 species
CUGUGACUCCUACGGGAGGCAGCAGUGGGGAAUAUUGCACAAUGGGCGCAAGCCUGAUGCAGCCAUGCCGCGUGUGUGAAGAAGGCCUUCGGGUUGUAAAGCACUUUCAGUUGUGAGGAAGGUGGUGUCGUUAAUAGCGGCAUCAUUUGACGUUAGCAACAGAAGAAGCACCGGCUAACUCCGUGCCAGCAGCCGCGGUAAUACGGAGGGUGCGAGCGUUAAUCGGAAUUACUGGGCGUAAAGCGCAUGCAGGUGGUUUGUUAAGUCAGAUGUGAAAGCCCGGGGCUCAACCUCGGAACUGCAUUUGAAACUGGCAGACUAGAGUACUGUAGAGGGGGUAGAAUUUCAGGUGUAGCGGUGAAAUGCGUAGAGAUCUGAAGGAAUACCGGUGGCGAAGGCGGCCCCCUGGACAGAUACUGACACUCAGAUGCGAAAGCGUGGGGAGCAAACAGGAUUAGACACCCUGGUAG